GGCAGGGUUGGGUAACACUUUGGUGGUCGGAUGGUUGCCCCAUCUGUCUAUGAAAACUUGCUAAGGCCCGACAGUGGUGGUGUUCGUGAUCAAGUGUUUGAAAGUACUAGCCUCAUACUUAGUAUGGGAUGAGGAAGCCUAGUACCUGAUUGAACCUAGACGUGAGCGGUCGCCCCAUUGUUCUUGGAACGGAGUUUCCCUUGCUGGUUGUCGCACGUGGUGGCAAAGCGUGGUCACAGAACGGCAGAGACCGGGUCUGUGGAACCUUGCACCAAAGGAAAUGGGCCCGACAUGGGUUAGGGGAUUGAUGGGGAAGGCCGACACAGGAAGCGACCUCCGGGUGCGCGGAUGUCGUGGGGCUAGGUUCACCAUGCAUGGUUAAAGAACUCGAAUCGAUUCGUCUGCCUCUCACAGUUUGAGAUUACUUGAUCGCUAUGUCACCCUGAGUAAAUGAGGAAUCUGAUGAUGGCAAUGUUGUUGUUUUUAUCUACACACUUGAUUGGCUCGAUGUUUGCUUAGAAUAGGUUGCACAACCUAGACUGGUAAGUAAAUCUAGAACCGGAGCUAAAACUUGAAAAUAGGUUACUUAGUGCUUUUGGCAAAACAAACCCCUCAACCAAGAAGCCU
rnacentral:lncRNA from 1 species